rnacentral:rRNA from 1 species
CCUACGGGAGGCAGCAGUAGGGAAUAUUGCUCAAUGGGGGCAACUCUGAAGCAGCAACGCCGCGUGGAGGAUGAAGGUUUUCGGAUUGUAAACUUCUUUUGUUAGAGAAGAUAAUGACGGUAUCUAACGAAUAAGCACCGGCUAACUCCGUGCCAGCAGCCGCGGUAAUACGGAGGGUGCAAGGGUUACACGGAAUCACUGGGCGUAAAGAGCGCGUAGGCGGGAUAGCAAGUCAGAUGUGAAAUCCUAUGGCUUAACCAUAGAACUGCAUUUGAAACUGUUAGUCUAGAGUAUGGGAGAGGUAGGUGGAAUGUUUGGUGUAGGGGUAAAAUCCGUAGAGAUCAAGAAGAAUACUGAUUGCGAAGGCAGCCUGCUAGGACAUAACUGACGCUGAGGCGCGAAAGCGUGGGGAGCAAACAGGAUUAGAUACCCCAGUAGUC